rnacentral:rRNA from 1 species
UCAUGGCUCAGGACGAACGCUGGCGGCGUGCCUAAUACAUGCAAGUAGAACGCUGAGGACUGGUGCUUGCACUGGUCUAAGGAGUUGCGAACGGGUGAGUAACGCGUAGGUAACCUACCUCAUAGCGGGGGAUAACUAUUGGAAACGAUAGCUAAUACCGCAUGACAAUAGGGUACACAUGUACCCUAUUUAAAAGGGGCAAAUGCUUCACUAUGAGAUGGACCUGCGUUGUAUUAGCUAGUUGGUAAGGUAACGGCUUACCAAGGCGACGAUACAUAGCCGACCUGAGAGGGUGAUCGGCCACACUGGGACUGAGACACGGCCCAGACUCCUACGGGAGGCAGCAGUAGGGAAUCUUCGGCAAUGGGGGGAACCCUGACCGAGCAACGCCGCGUGAGUGAAGAAGGUUUUCGGAUCGUAAAGCUCUGUUGUUAGAGAAGAACGGUAAUGGGAGUGGAAAAUCCAUUACGUGACGGUAACUAACCAGAAAGGGACGGCUAACUACGUGCCAGCAGCCGCGGUAAUACGUAGGUCCCGAGCGUUGUCCGGAUUUAUUGGGCGUAAAGCGAGCGCAGGCGGUUUGAUAAGUCUGAAGUUAAAGGCUGUGGCUUAACCAUAGUUCGCUUUGGAAACUGUCAAACUUGAGUGCAGAAGGGGAGAGUGGAAUUCCAUGUGUAGCGGUGAAAUGCGUAGAUAUAUGGAGGAACACCGGUGGCGAAAGC